rnacentral:rRNA from 1 species
GACGAACGCUGGCGGCGUGCUUAACACAUGCAAGUCGAACGGAAAGGCCCUGCUUUUGUGGGGUGCUCGAGUGGCGAACGGGUGAGUAACACGUGAGUAACCUGCCCUUGACUUUGGGAUAACUUCAGGAAACUGGGGCUAAUACCGGAUAGGAGCUCCUGCUGCAUGGAGGGGGUUGGAAAGUUUCGGCGGUUGGGGAUGGACUCGCGGCUUAUCAGCUUGUUGGUGGGGUAGUGGCUUACCAAGGCUGUGACGGGUAGCCGGCCUGAGAGGGUGACCGGCCACAUUGGUACUGAGAUACGGCCCAGACUCCAACGGGGGACAGCAGUGGGAAAUAUUGCACAAUGGGAGGAAGCCUGAUGCAGCAACGCCGCGUGCGGGAUGACGGCCUUCGGGUUGUAAACCGCUUUCGCCUGUGACGAAGCGUGAGUGACGGUAAUGGGUAAAGAAGCACCGGCUAACUACGUG